rnacentral:rRNA from 1 species
UACGAAGGGGGCUAGCGUUGCUCGGAAUCACUGGGCGUAAAGCGCACGUAGGCGGAUUGCUAAGUCAGGGGUGAAAUCCUGGAGCUCAACUCCAGAACUGCCUUUGAUACUGGCGACCUUGAGUCCGGGAGAGGUGAGUGGAACUGCGAGUGUAGAGGUGAAAUUCGUAGAUAUUCGCAAGAACACCAGUGGCGAAGGCGGCUCACUGGCCCGGUACUGACGCUGAGGUGCGAAAGCGUGGGGAGCAAACAGGAGUUAAG